rnacentral:rRNA from 1 species
CACGUAGGGUGCGAGCGUUGUCCGGAAUUAUUGGGCGUAAAGAGCUCGUAGGCGGUUUGUCACGUCUGCUGUGAAAUCCCGAGGCUCAACCUCGGGCCUGCAUUCGAUACGGGCAGACUCGAGUGUGGUAGGGGAGACUGGAACUCCUGGUGUAGCGGUGAAAUGCGCAGAUAUCAGGAAGAACACCGGUGGCGAAGGCGGGUCUCUGGGCCACUACUGACGCUGAGGAGCGAAAGCGUGGGGAGCGAACAGG